rnacentral:rRNA from 1 species
ACCUGCGGAAGGAUCAUUACAAGUGAGGCUACCGAACGUUGGAAACAGCGGUUAGGAGCUUACACCCACCCGUGUUUACAUACUAUUGUUGCUUUGGCGGGCCGUGGCCUCCACUGCGGGCUCUGCUCGUGUGUGCCCGCCAGAGAACCAAACUCUGAAUGUUAGUGAUGUCUGAGUACUAUCUAAUAGUUAAAACUUUCAACAACGGAUCUCUUGGUUCUGGCAUCGAUGAAGAACGCAGCGAAAUGCGAUAAGUAAUGUGAAUUGCAGAAUUCAGUGAAUCAUCGAAUCUUUGAACGCACAUUGCGCCCUGUGGUAUUCCGCAGGGCAUGCCUGUUCGAGCGUCAUUUAACCACUCACGCCUAGCGUGGUAUUGGGGCACGCGGUCUCCGCGGCCCUCAAAAUUAGUGGCGGCGCCGGUGGGCUCUAAGCGUAGUACAUACUCCCGCUAUAGAGUUCCCCCCGGUGGCUCGCCAGAACCCCCAAUUUUUUUACAGGUUGACCUCGGAUCAGGUAGGGAUACCCGCUGAACUUAAGCAUAUCAAUAAGC